rnacentral:lncRNA from 1 species
AAAAACAAUAGUUUUGAAAUGAUGGAAAACAUGAAAGGAUUAAAAACGUAAAUAACCCAAGAAUGCCUAAAACCCAUAAAAUCCCUACUCCAUUUGUAACAACAGCAGCCGCAUUCAUCCUCUCCCCUGCUCUUCACGCCUAAAUUCCCCCUUUCAAUCUUCGAUUCAGACGAAGUAUAGUAAGGGCAUCGACGGCGCGCCAGCACUGGUAAGAACCUCUUCUCUUCCUCUUUACUUUUGUUUUGCGCACCCAGAAAAACAAAAAACAAAUAAAUAACCAAGAAAGCGAUAAAAAAAAUGAAGAAAAUCACCUUCAAAAUCAAACUGCUAUAUUUUUAUUCCCUUUUGUACUUCGGUUUACACUUGAUUUCUUUUUCUCUUUUUUGUUUCAAUCUGCCCUCCAAAAAAAAAAUCUUGAAAAUGGAUCCGUUUUUAUAUGCGAUCCCCCCAGAAAAAACAAACCAUAUUUUCCUAUUAUCCUAUUGCCCUCCCUGCUGUUCGUGGCUUGUUGCAGGUACCACUAGCGAGAAGACAUGCGCAGAGGCUACUGAACGUGGGCGGUUGCUGCGACGUGGGGCAUGCGGCGCCGGUUUGCUGCUAACCACUUAGGGUUUCUAUGUUUGGCUAAUUUGGGCUAGUGCUAUUGGGCCGAAUGGUAUUGGGUCAUUUGGAUUUGGGUUAUUUGUAAAAAUGGACUGUUUAUUGUAUUUAUUAUUUUUUGAGGUUUAUUUAUUUGGGCCCGGGCUAAAAUGGCCUAUUACAACAUCAACAUUUACUUAGUUUUUUUUUCGAAGUGCGUGAAAAGUCUUUAUGUGAGAACUUUUGUAAGGUCAAGCCCUUAUUUGAUAAAUUUUAAAGGUUAAUCUCUUAUGCCCUAAUUUGAAGAUUUACCCUUUUAAAAUUUAUGUCAAAGUCCAAACACUAUUAUUUUUUUUUAAAUUGUUGAUGUGAUAUUUUCAAAUAAAAGAUGAUAUCUAUUUGGUAGUGAUGUAACUACGAAAUUGUCAUGAUGAACUUGUAUUUCAAAAAAUAAUUGUAAUUGUGUUAAUAGUUGGACCUGAAUUUAAAAAGUAAAACUAAGUUUUAAAAUUAUAAAAAAGAUAGGGACUUAUGAUAAAAUUUAGCCAUUUAUAAAUUCUAAAGAUCGUUCGUUGUUAUCCAUUUCCACUCCUCCCACAUUCCAAUCCCGGUCCAUGCUAAUGUAUUGAUUUUGUUCGUUCUCAGUGGGCUUUUCAAUUACUUCGGCCUGCCUACGAAACAAAGCAUUCACCCUAAUUAAACAAGUAAAUCAAAA